AUUGAACGCUGGCGGAAUGCUUUACACAUACAAGUCGAACGGCAGCACGGGGGCAACCCUGGUGGCGAGUGGCGAACGGGUGAGUAAUACAUCGGAACGUGCCCAGUCGUGGGGGAUAACGUAGCGAAAGUUACGCUAAUACCGCAUACGAUCUACGGAUGAAAGCGGGGGACCGUAAGGCAUCGCGCGAUUGGAGCGGCCGAUGUCAGAUUAGGUAGUUGGUGAGGUAAAGGCUCACCAAGCCGACGAUCUGUAGCUGGUCUGAGAGGACGACCAGCCACACUGGGACUGAGACACGGCCCAGACUCCUACGGGAGGCAGCAGUGGGGAAUUUUGGACAAUGGGUGCAAGCCUGAUCCAGCCAUUCCGCGUGCAGGACGAAGGCCUUCGGGUUGUAAACUGCUUUUGUACGGAACGAAAAGGCUCUGGUUAAUACCUGGGGCUCAUGACGGUACCGUAAGAAUAAGCACCGGCUAACUACGUGCCAGCCGCCGCUGUAA
rnacentral:rRNA from 1 species